GAGUUCGAGAUGUAACGCCAUGGGGUAGGAGCCCGAAACUAUUCUCCGGUCUACAGGUCAAAACAAGUAGAGGGUGCAUGUAAGGACCUCCAUAUCAUCACAAGCUUUCCAGAAACACAGCUGCGGGCUCUAGAUGUAAUGCAGUUUCCCCAUCCACAGGAGAAUGUUUCGACUCGGACCUCACCUCGGCCGCCAAAGCACUGAUCUCGCCAUUCAGGGUGCUGAGCGGAGCGCGAACCGGCAGCCCCCGGCCUCCAGCUGUCCCGAC